rnacentral:snRNA from 1 species
GGAUGUGAGGGCAAUCUGGCUGCGGCAUCUGUCACCCCAUUGAUCGCCAGGGUUGAUUCGACUGAUCUGGCUGGCUAGGCGGGAGUCCCCUCCCUCCCUCCCCGCUCCAUCCCACCCAAAGCUGCGCACUCGGUGGAAGAGGAUGAGCAUCCCAAAUAGAAGGAGUGUACCGAUCUUCUGUCAAGGGUCUGUUCACAUUUAGAAGAAAAUACCAUUGCGGAAUAAUCUCUUUAUGUCUACUCUUUUGGAUAGAGAUCAGAG